CCUACGGGAGGCAGCAGUGAGGAAUAUUGGUCAAUGGCCGGAAGGCUGAACCAGCCAUGCCGCGUGAAGGUCAGUGCCCUAUGGGCGUUAAACUUCUUUUGUGCGGGAGCAAUAAUGGUCACGUGUGGCCAGACGAGAGUACCGUACGAAUAAGCAUCGGCUAACUACGUGCCAGCCGCCGCGGUUAUACGGGGGAUGGAAGCGUUAUCCGGAUUUUUUGGGUUUAAAGGGUGCGUAGGCUGUGAGGUAAGUCAGCGGUGAAAUGCCCCCGCUCAACGGGGUGAAGUGCCAUUGAUACUGCCUUGCUGGAAUGCGAAUGCCGUGGGAGGAAUGUGGGGUGUAGCGGUGAAAUGCAUAGAUAUCACACAGAACACCGAUUGCGAAGGCAUCUCACGAAUCCGCGAUUGACGCUGAUGCACGAAAGCGUGGGUAUCAAACAGGAUUAGAUACCUGGGUAGUC
rnacentral:rRNA from 1 species